GUGAGGAAUAUUGGUCAAUGGGCGGGAGCCUGAACCAGCCAAGUCGCGUGAAGGAAGAAGGAUCUAUGGUUCGUAAACUUCUUUUGCAGGGGAAUAAAGUGCAGGACGUGUCCUGUUUUGUAUGUACCCUGAGAAUAAGGAUCGGCUAACUCCGUGCCAGCAGCCGCGGUAAUACGGAGGAUCCAAGCGUUAUCCGGAUUUAUUGGGUUUAAAGGGUGCGCAGGCGGGUUGAUAAGUCAGCGGUGAAAGUUUGCAGCUUAACUGUAAAAUUGCCGUUGAAACUGUCGAUCUUGAGUGCAAAUGAGGUAAGCGGAAUGUGUUGUGUAGCGGUGAAAUGCUUAGAUAUAACACAGAACACCGAUUGCGAAGGCAGCUUACUGGGAUGCAACUGACGCUCAUGCACGAAAGCGUGGGGAUCAAACAGGAUUAGAAACCCUGGUAGUCC
rnacentral:rRNA from 1 species